UACGAAGGGGGCUAGCGUUGUUCGGAAUCACUGGGCGUAAAGCGCACGCAGGCGGAUUGAUAAGUCAGGGGUGAAAUCCCGGAGCUCAACUUCGGAAUUGCCUUUGAUACUGAAGAUCUUGAGUUCGGGAGAGGUGAGUGGAACUGCGAGUGUAGAGGUGAAAUUCGUAGAUAUUCGCAAGAACACCAGUGGCGAAGGCGGCUCACUGGCCCGAUACUGACGCUGAGGCACGAAAGCGUGGGAGCAAACAGG
rnacentral:rRNA from 1 species